rnacentral:rRNA from 1 species
UACGGAGGGUGCAAGCGUUAUCCGGAUUUACUGGGUUUAAAGGGUGUGUAGGCGGGCUAUUAAGUCAGUGGUGAAAUCUCCGAGCUUAACUUGGAAACUGCCAUUGAUACUAUUAGUCUUGAAUUUUGUUGAGGUAGGCGGAAUAAGUCAUGUAGCGGUGAAAUGCUUAGAUAUGACUUAGAACACCAAUUGCGAAGGCAGCAUCCUGGGAAGUUCCUGACGCUCGGGUGCGAAAGCCAGGGGAGCGAACGGG